rnacentral:tRNA from 1 species
GUGUCCGUAGCCCAAUCUGGCAGAGGCGCCACGCUCAGAACGUGGAUGAUGGAGGUUCGAGUCCUCCCGGGCACACCA